rnacentral:rRNA from 1 species
UAGGGAAUCUUCCACAAUGGGCGCAAGCCUGAUGGAGCAACACCGCGUGAGUGAAGAAGGGUUUCGGCUCGUAAAACUCUGUUGUUGGAGAAGAACGUGCGUAAGAGUAACUGUUUACGCAGUGACGGUAUCCAACCAGAAAGUCACGGCUGACUACGUGCCAC